rnacentral:lncRNA from 1 species
CAGGCCCCUCUGACCUUUCAGCAUGCCUGAUGACCAAGGCCCAAACCCACAGGACAACAAUAUCUCCCCUUCCCACAGCUGCAUCUGUCAUAUCUCCCAAUGGGUUUUAUAAUUGACGUUUAUGACUUGACCCAGGUGGCUGGGACAGCUGGUCUCCUUUCGACAAAGCAGGAGGAGGGAAGACUGUGCCUAGUCUAUCAGAAGGCCUGGAGCUCCUUGCAAAGAAGAGCGGCACGGCAGACUGGCCACCUUGGUAACGGAUGGGGCGUCCCCCCAGGGUGGUGGCGGGAGAAAAGCUUGUGGGGGCAGCCGGACAUUUGGCUGUGGCACCUGCGACCCAGAUAUCUGGAACCUUAAGGACCUGAGGAAAGGAGGGCAGGCACACCCGCGCCCUCCCGCCUCCCUGACUGCGACAGGGGAGAUGCCAUCACAAACCUCCUGGGACCAGACCAGGCCUCACCACAAGAGCUACACCUAUGACCUUUGCCUUGUUUUUAAUGCUAAGAUCUCUCCAGGAGCGGCUCAGGCCUUAUUACCAUCACCUGCAGUGUGUGUGGAAGCAGGUUUUCCAUCUGCGCCUGUGCAAGAGGAUACUCACCUUUCCCUUUUGAACAUUCAUUCCCCAUCUGAAAUAAAUGUCCCUCCUUCCCUUUCUUUGGGGACACUAUGACUCUGGAAAUGAUUCCUCAUGGUCUCCUAUUUGCCACAAAUAUACCUUACUUUGUGAGACUACUACUUCUGGUGGAGAGUCUGAUUUAACUCACCAGAAGGGAACCCACUUUGCUUUCAGUAACAAAUUGGUGCCUGACUUGGGGCUUGCCUCUUUGCGGUGCUUAUGCUGCUGGCUUGAUGUUGCUGCCCCCUUGGGAGACCCAGCAGCAGCUACACUGAGCGCU